rnacentral:rRNA from 1 species
GACGAACGCUGGCGGCGUGCUUAACACAUGCAAGUCGAACGAUGAAGCCGGAGCUUGCUCUGGUGAAUUAGUGGCGAACGGGUGAGUAACACGUGAGUAACCUGCCCUUGACUCUGGGAUAACUGCGGGAAACUGUAGCUAAUACCGGAUACGACCCUCGGAGGCAUCUCCCGGGGGUGGAAAGAAUUUCGGUCAAGGAUGGACUCGCGGCCUAACAGGUAGUUGGUGAGGUAAAGGCUCACCAAGGCGACGACGGGUAGCCGGCCUGAGAGGGUGACCGGCCACACUGGGACUGAGACACGGCCCAGACUCCUACGGGAGGCAGCAGUGGGGAAUAUUGCACAAUGGGCGCAAGCCUGAUGCAGCAACGCCGCGUGAGGGAUGACGGCCUUCGGGUUGUAAACCUCUUUUAGCAGGGAAGAAGCGAAAGUGACGGUACCUGCAGAAAAAGCACCGGCUAACUACGUGCCAGCCGCCGCCGUAA